rnacentral:rRNA from 1 species
UUCCCCUUCGGGGGACAGGAUGACAGGUGGUGCAUGGUUGUCGUCAGCUCGUGUCGUGAGAUGUUGGGUUAAGUCCCGCAACGAGCGCAACCCUUGAUCUUAGUUGCCAGCAUUUAGUUGGGCACUCUAAGGUGACUGCCGGUGACAAACCGGAGGAAGGUGGGGAUGACGUCAAAUCAUCAUGCCCCUUAUGACCUGGGCUACACACGUGCUACAAUGGAUGGUACAAAGGGCAGCAAAACCGCGAGGUCGAGCCAAUCCCAUAAAACCAUUCUCAGUUCGGAUUGUAGGCUGCAACUCGCCUACAUGAAGCUGGAAUCGCUAGUAAUCGCGGAUCAGCAUGCCGCGGUGAAUACGUUCCCGGGCCUUGUACACACCGCCCGUCACACCACGAGAGUUUGUAACACCCGAAGUCGGUGGGGUAACCCUUCUGGGAGCCAGCCGCCUAAGGUGGGAUAGAUGAUUGGGGUGAAGUCGUAACAAGGUAAGCGUAGCGAG